rnacentral:rRNA from 1 species
GGAGGGUGCAAGCGUUAAUCGGAAUUACUGGGCGUAAAGCGUGCGUAGGCGGUUUAUUAAGUCAGAUGUGAAAGCCCCGGGCUUAACCUGGGAACUGCAUUUGAAACUGGUCAACUAGAGUAUGGUAGAGGAAAGUGGAAUUUCUGGUGUAGCGGUGAAAUGCGUAGAUAUCAGAAGGAACAUCAAUGGCGAAGGCAGCUUUCUGGACCAAUACUGACGCUGAGGUACGAAAGCGUGGGUAGCAAACAGGAUUAGAUACCCUGGUAGUCCACGCCGUAAACGAUGUAUAACAGCCGUUGG